rnacentral:rRNA from 1 species
AGAGUUUGAUCCUGGCUCAGAUUGAACGCUGGCGGAAUGCUUUACACAUGCAAGUCGAGCGGCAGCGCGGUCUUCGGACUGGCGGCGAGCGGCGAACGGGUGAGUAAUACAUCGGAACAUGCCCAGUCGUGGGGGAUAACACUUCGAAAGAAGUGCUAAUACCGCAUACGUCCUGAGGGAGAAAGCGGGGGAUCGCAAGACCUCGCGCGAUUGGAGUGGCCGAUGUCAGAUUAGCUAGUUGGUGGGGUAAAGGCCUACCAAGGCAACGAUCUGUAGCUGGUCUGAGAGGAUGAUCAGCCACACUGGGACUGAGACACGGCCCAGACUCCUACGGGAGGCAGCAGUGGGGAAUUUUGGACAAUGGGGGCAACCCUGAUCCAGCCAUUCCGCGUGAGUGAAGAAGGCCUU